AGAGUUUGAUCAUGGCUCAGAUUGAACGCUGGCGGCAGGCCUAACACAUGCAAGUCGAACGGUAACAGGAAGCAGCUUGCUGCUUUGCUGACGAGUGGCGGACGGGUGAGUAAUGUCUGGGAAACUGCCUGAUGGAGGGGGAUAACUACUGGAAACGGUGGCUAAUACCGCAUAACGUCGCAAGACCAAAGAGGGGGACCUUCGGGCCUCUUGCCAUCAGAUGUGCCCAGAUGGGAUUAGCUUGUUGGUGAGGUAACGGCUCACCAAGGCGACGAUCCCUAGCUGGUCUGAGAGGAUGACCAGCCACACUGGAACUGAGACACGGUCCAGACUCCUACGGGAGGCAGCAGUGGGGAAUAUUGCACAAUGGGCGCAAGCCUGAUGCAGCCAUGCCGCGUGUAUGAAGAAGGCCUUCGGGUUGUAAAGUACUUUCAGCGGGGAGGAAGGUGUUGUGGUUAAUAACCGCAGCAAUUGACGUUACCCGCAGAAGAAGCACCGGCUAACUCCGUGCCAGCAGCCGCGGUAAUACGGAGGGUGCAAGCGUUAAUCGGAAUUACUGGGCGUAAAGCGCACGCAGGCGGUCUGUCAAGUCGGAUGUGAAAUCCCCGGGCUCAACCUGGGAACUGCAUUCGAAACUGGCAGGCUUGAGUCUUGUAGAGGGGGGUAGAAUUCCAGGUGUAGCGGUGAAAUGCGUAGAGAUCUGGAGGAAUACCGGUGGCGAAGGCGGCCCCCUGGACAAAGACUGACGCUCAGGUGCGAAAGCGUGGGGAGCAAACAGGAUUAGAUACCCUGGUAGUCCACGCCGUAAACGAUGUCUACUUGGAGGUUGUGCCCUUGAGGCGUGGCUUCCGGAGCUAACGCGUUAAGUAGACCGCCUGGGGAGUACGGCCGCAAGGUUAAAACUCAAAUGAAUUGACGGGGGCCCGCACAAGCGGUGGAGCAUGUGGUUUAAUUCGAUGCAACGCGAAGAACCUUACCUGGUCUUGACAUCCACAGAAGAAUCCAGAGAUGGAUUUGUGCCUUCGGGAACUGUGAGACAGGUGCUGCAUGGCUGUCGUCAGCUCGUGUUGUGAAAUGUUGGGUUAAGUCCCGCAACGAGCGCAACCCUUAUCCUUUGUUGCCAGCGGUUAGGCCGGGAACUCAAAGGAGACUGCCAGUGAUAAACUGGAGGAAGGUGGGGAUGACGUCAAGUCAUCAUGGCCCUUACGACCAGGGCUACACACGUGCUACAAUGGCGCAUACAAAGAGAAGCGACCUCGCGAGAGCAAGCGGACCUCAUAAAGUGCGUCGUAGUCCGGAUUGGAGUCUGCAACUCGACUCCAUGAAGUCGGAAUCGCUAGUAAUCGUGGAUCAGAAUGCCACGGUGAAUACGUUCCCGGGCCUUGUACACACCGCCCGUCACACCAUGGGAGUGGGUUGCAAAAGAAGUAGGUAGCUUAACCUUCGGGAGGGCGCUUACCACUUUGUGAUUCAUGACUGGGGUGAAGUCGUAACAAGGUAACCGUAGGGGAACCUGCGGUUG
rnacentral:rRNA from 10 species